UGUUCUCUCGUUCUACUGCCC
rnacentral:siRNA from 1 species